rnacentral:rRNA from 1 species
GAUGAACGCUGGCGGCGUGCCUAAUACAUGCAAGUCGAGCGAACAGAUGCGGAGCUUGCUCCUCUGACGUUAGCGGCGGACGGGUGAGUAACACGUGGAUCAUCUACUUAUAAGACUGGGAUAACUUCGGGAAACCGGAGCUAAUACCGGAUAAUAUAUUGAACCGCAUGGUUCAAUAGUGAAAGACGGUUUUGCUGUCACUUAUAGCUGGAUCCGCGCCGCAUUAGCUAGUUGGUAAGGUAACGGCUUACCAAGGCAACGAUGCGUAGCCGACCUGAGAGGGUGAUCGGCCACACUAGAACGGAGACACGGUCCAGGCGCCUACGGGAGGCAGCAGAAGGGAAUCUGCCGCAAUGGGCGAAAGCCUGACGGAGCAACGCCGCGUGAGUUAUGAAGGUCUUCGGAUCGUAAAACUCUGUUAUUAGGGAAGAACAAAUGUGGAAGUAACUAUGCACGUCUUGACGGCACCUAAUCAGAAAGCCACGGCUAACUACGUG